GUUGGUUAUGGAGAUAUGUCUCCAUCAAGUGACGCAGGGUACCUUGUUGGCUCGUUAUGUGCUGUCACUGGUUUGUUAAUGGUCGGUUUCACUGUUCCUAUUAUCGUCAGUAAU
rfam:Octopus bimaculoides Scaffold13991_contig_221, whole genome shotgun sequence.